CCUUGCAAAAAGGGGCCGAGCAUGGAUGUCAUUAUAAUUAUGCCCCACUCCCUCCCCCCUGGAAAAAUUCCUGUGGACUCCCAUCAUGAUACUUAAUAAAAGAUAUUUAAAUAAAUAAAAAGGAAAGAAAGGCAGGCCUAGGCCAAGAAUUAGACUUGAAUGCAUGAGCAUCUCAUGAGCCUAUUAAUGUCAAACAAAAAUAAAAGUUAUGGUAAAAACUCAUAUAUGAAUCAACAGAUUAACUAUGCACCAAAGAUUACACUUGCACUGCACAAGUAGAGUGGAUAUUAAGAAGCUUUUUUUCAUCUGUCUGAAGGAGGAUAAUGUUGGGAAUUGACCAAAACAUUUAAACAUGUAGGCCACAAUAACCAAGCUGAAAAUAGAUGAGAAAUUCUCCAACCUCAAAUAGGACAUUUGCUAGUCAAUUCCUGUCAUUUCCUUGUAAGUAUCCUGAUGGCGUGCCAUGGUAAGUAGUCACACUGGUUUAGUACAGUUAGUACAAUUUAUCUGGGUCCCCCUAUGUGCCUGUGGCGAAAUGCUGCUUCAGGUUAUACAAACUAAGCAGGGCUAUGCUCAUUGGCUGAGCACACACUGAGACAUUGACUGCGGACCUGCAUCAUUCAGGCUUAGCUAUAUGGAGACAUUCAGUUUAUCCUGCUGGACAAGAAUAGAUGUGCCCUGGGGGAGAAAGAUAAGUUUUAGUGGUUCUGGUGCAUGUAGUGUUCUUUUAAUUGAAUAACACUAAUAAGAAUAAGACUAAAUUCCCCUCAUACAGGACAAUUGCUACUUUAAAACCAUUUUUGGAAAAAUGGCAUCCAAACUAGAUUCUCACAUCUUGCAAAUAUAAAAAAUAAUGGAACCAUGACAUGAAGGAAGAUGAGAGAAAAAAAAGAAUAGUGAAAAUGAGGGGGCAUUCCAAUGGGAAAGUUAACGGUUUCUGCAUCAUUUGA